rnacentral:rRNA from 1 species
AACGAACGCUGGCGGCGCGCCUAAUACAUGCAAGUCGAGCGAGAAGACGUAGCAAUACGUUUGUAAAGCGGCGAACGGGUGAGGAAUACAUGGGUAACCUACCCUCGAGUGGGGAAUAACUAGCCGAAGGUUAGCUAAUACCGCGUACGCUCCUUGGACUUCGGUUCAGGGAGGAAAGCGAUACCGUGGGUAUCGCGCUCUUGGAUGGGCUCAUGUCCUAUCAGCUUGUUGGUGAGGUAACGGCUCACCAAGGCUUCGACGGGUAGCUGGUCUGAGAGGACGAUCAGCCACACUGGCACUGCGACACGGGCCAGACUCCUACGGGAGGCAGCAGUAAGGAAUAUUGCGCAAUGGGCGAAAGCCUGACGCAGCGACGCCGCGUGGGGGAUGAAGGUCUUCGGAUUGUAAACCCCUUUCGGGAGGGAAGAUGGAACGAGCAAUCGUUCGGACGGUACCUCCAGAAG